ACUGAAGUAGCUCAGUUUGUAGAGUGUUAGACUGAAGAGCUAAAGGUUCCUGGUUCAGUUCCAGAUUUUGACA
rnacentral:tRNA from 1 species